rnacentral:rRNA from 1 species
AUUGAACGCUGGCGGCAUGCUUUACACAUGCAAGUCGAACGGCAGCGCGGGGGCAACCCUGGCGGCGAGCGGCGAACGGGUGAGUAAUACAUCGGAACGUGUCCUUGAGUGGGGGAUAGCUCGACGAAAGCCGGAUUAAUACCGCAUAAGCUCUGAGGAGGAAAGCGGGGGACUGGUAACGGCCUCGCGCUGUUGGAGCGGCCGAUGUCGGAUUAGCUAGUUGGUGGGGAAAGCCCACCAAGGCGACGAUCCGUAGCUGGUCUGAGAGGAUGAUCAGCCACACUGGAACUGAGACACGGUCCAGAC